rnacentral:rRNA from 1 species
GUGAAUGGCGGCCGUAACUAUGACGGUCCUAAGGUAGCGAAGUUCCUUGUCGGGUAAGUUCCGACCCGCACGAAAGGCGUAACGACUUGGACACUGUCUCAACAACAGGCUCGGCGAAAUUGUAGUCGUGGUGAAGAUGCCACGUUCCCGCGUCAAGACGGAAAGACCCCGUGAACCUUUACUACAGCCUGAUAUUGAGGCUAUUCAUGUAGUGCGUAGCAUAGGUGGGAGACGUUGAAGCUGGCACUCUGGUGCUGGUGGAGUCACAAUGUGAAAUACCACUCUCUGCAUGGUUGGUCCCUAACAAGGUGCUGUGAAGCCAGGCCUUGGACAGUGUCAGGUGGGUAGUUUGGCUGGGGCGGUCUCCUCCGAAAAGGUAACGGAGGAGCGCGAUGGUGCACUCAGCACGGUUGGCAAUCGUGCGUAGAGCGUAAGGGUAUAAGUGCGCCUGACUGCGAGAGAUAUAGCUCGAGCAGGUACGAAAGUAGGUCUUAGUGAUCCGGCGGAUUCCGAGUGGAAGGGCCGUCGCUCAUCAGAUAAAAGGUACUCCGGGGAUAACAGGCUGAUCUCCCCCAAGAGUUCAUAUCGACGGGGAGGUUUGGCACCUCGAUGUCGGCUCAUCGCAUCCUGGGGCUGAAGAAGGUCCCAAGGGUUUGGCUGUUCGCCAAUUAAAGCGGUACGUGAGCUGGGUUUAGACCGUCGUGAGACAGGUCGGUCCCUAUCUGGCGUGGGUGUAGGAUGAUUGAGGAGGUAUUCCCCUAGUACGAGAGGAUUGGGGAGUACGGCCCUCUGGUGUACCAGUUAUCACGCUAGUGGUAUGGCUGGGUAGCUACGGUCGGAACGGAUAAGCGCUGAAGGCAUCUAAGUGCGAAGCCCUCUCCAAGACGAAUCAUCCCUAUCAGUCCCCUGGGAGACUACCAGGUUGAUAGGCCGGCGGUGUAAGCGCAGCAAUGCGUUCAGCCAACCGGUACUAAUCGGACGAUCGACUUAACUAC